AUUGAACGCUGGCGGCAUGCCUUACACAUGCAAGUCGAACGGCAGCACGGGGCAACCUGGUGGCGAGUGGCGAACGGGUGAGUAAUGCAUCGGAACGUGCCAUUGAGUGGGGGAUAACGUAGCGAAAGUUGCGCUAAUACCGCAUAUUCUGUGAGCAGGAAAGCAGGGGACCGCAAGGCCUUGCGCUCUUUGAGCGGCCGAUGUCAGAUUAGCUAGUUGGUGAGGUAACGGCUUACCAAGGCGACGAUCUGUAGCGGGUCUGAGAGGAUGAUCCGCCACACUGGAACUGAGACACGGUCCAGACUCCUACGGGAGGCAGCAGUGGGAAUUUUGGACAAUGGGCGCAAGCCUGAUCCAGCCAUGCCGCGUGAGUGAAGAAGGCCU
rnacentral:rRNA from 1 species